AUUUCCAAACUCCCCAUUCUUCCACUUCUCUCUCAACUCUCAAUACCUAGAGCUCCCCAACUCUCUCUCUUCUCUCUCCUUCCAUUUUCCGCUGCCACCCUCCGCCAUCGGUGCCACCGCCCGCCGGAAAUCUCCACCGGCGGUGGCCAACCUCCAAAAAGCUUCAAAAUAACGUCAAUCUUCUCCUUUUCUUCUCCUCUACCUCACCUCACCACUUAAACCCAUAAAAAACCAACCAUCAAAGAGUUAAGAAAUGGCCGAAACUCCCCCCCCCCCCCACCGGCGGCACCGCCGCCGGAAAUAGCCGGCGCCGGCGACAGAAACUCCAAAAACCCUCAAACUCAUACCAUACACUUCUCUCAUCCUCUUAAACUUUAUCCUACCAACCAAAUCCCCAAAAACCCAACCAAAAUCCGUAGAUCUUGGAUCUAAAAUGCCAAAACCCUAGAUCUACUUCUUUUUUCAUUUUUUCUAGUCAUUAUAAAAUCCUCCGGUCAAGAUCUUCCAUCAAAGAUCUUAGAUCCAAGACGGGAGUCUUAGCUUGAGGUUUUUUUUUUUCAUGAUUAGACCCUUUAAAUUUUAUAAUUUUAUUUACUCAUUUGUUAUUUAUUUCAUUCAUUUUUAUGCAUUUUUUUUAUUUUUCGUUAAUUUCCGCAUUUAUUUAAUGUUUUUUUUUCUUUCGCAUUAUAUUAUGUUUUUUUAUUUAUUUACGCAUUUAUAUAUAUAUUUUUUUUAUUUUUUUAUUUCUGCCAUUUUUAUUUCUGUUGUUUAUUUUUAUCACAGUUUGUAUUUAUUUUGUUAAUUAUCAUAUUUUGUUUAUUCCAUAAUAAGUAAUUAAUUAGUUAAAAUCGGAUCUAGUUAAAAUAUAUGUAAAGUUAGUAUAAUCAUAUUAUGAUAUUUUAUAGUUUUUUUAUUAAUUAACUAAAACAGAUUAAUCAAGAAAAGAAAAAAAAUUAGUUUAAAAAAUGGAAAAAAUAUGUGUAAAUAGAUUUAAUAAUAAAUAGAUUAAAAAAAUAUUAAAAAUGUAGUAUUUAGAUUCCGUUUUUAUUUUUAUUUUUUUUACAUCUCAUCAAUUUAGUUAAUGUUAUUCUAUUAAAUUUAUUAUGUAGUUAUUAAUGGGGUAGUACAUGUAUAUAUAUAUUAUACACUCCACAUAUACAUCUAUUACUAUCACACUAAGCACUAAUAAUAAUAAAAUAAAGUAUUAAAAUAAUAUAGUGGAGGACAAGACAUAUGUUAGUGGGGAAUAAUGUAUUUUUUUAAUCAAUAAUGGGGAACAAGACAUAGUGGGAUUACGGGACUCAAGAAAAGUUAAUUAAAUAAAAUAACAAUUGCAUUUUUUAUGUAGUAGUGGGUUUGGUAAGAGAAAGUGGAUUGUUUUAUUAUUUGUUUAAUUGAUUAAGGGCUCUGUUAUGAGGCAUAAAUAGAGCAGACUUGGACAUAAUUAAGGACGGGAUUUGAUCAUCAUAAAUUCAGAGCUUAAGUUGAAAAGAAAACUGAUUUGUCAGAACUUAAAAAAUUCAGUCUUUGAGAAUUAAAAACUGAAAGUAAAGCCUUUCUUUACUAUUGAGAAUCAGAAUAUUGUUACUGCUUCUGUGGUUUGCAUUUGGUAUUACUGAUUUUCAGAUUGGUCUUCUUGGGUUUUCUUUUGGUUCUUGAGUGCUGUUUCAUUGAAUUCUUGGGUUUCACCUUGGGUUUCUGGUAUUGUUUGUUGUUGGGUUAUUCUUGAAUCUGUUACUGGUUGUGGAAUCAUCUCUGUUGGUUUUAAGAUCUGUCCCUAGGUGUUCAAUUUGCUACUGUUGUUGCUGACUAUUCUGUUUGCUUUGCUACUGCUGAUCUUCCUCUUCUUUUACUUCCAAUACCAGGUACAUGGCUGUAACCUUGUCGAUAUCGUAAGCUGAAAUGUGAAAGCAUGAAUACAUAUGAAGAAUGGAACUUUGAAGUUUUAAUUUAGCUUCUUCUUUGUUUCUUUUACUGAUUGUAUUUAGGCUAUUUCAUGUAUUAUUAUUCUAUAAAUUUAUGUCACUUUGCAUAACUAGGCAUCUUGUAGUGAUGUACUAAAUAAUAUUCUGCUUUAGUUUGGUUAUUAGGUAGUAUACGUUUAAGCAUGCUCAUUACUGUCAAACUGUUUAAUAAUUGGAAUAAGAGAAAAUAACAUAAGUUGGUC
rnacentral:lncRNA from 1 species